rnacentral:lncRNA from 1 species
CUGCCACAACUCCUUCCAUUUCUUAAGCAUCUGUAUGUGGAUAAUUGUCCAGAAAUAGAGUCCUUUCCUCAAGGAGGAUUGCAAAGACUUGUAAUCUGGAAUUGUAAGACACUGGUGAGCCGCCGAGAGGAGUGGACACUCCCCUGUCUCACAGAGUUAUGGAUCUCUCAUGACGAAGAGAUUGUUGGUGGUGAGAAUUGGGAGUUGCCUACCUCUAUUCAAAUACUUGCUAUAUCCAAUCUGAAAACGUUAAGCAGCCAACAUCUCAAAAGCCUCACCUCUCUUCGACAUCUUUGUGUGAAGGGUAAUUUACCUCAAAUUCAGUCAAUGCUGGAACAAGGCCAAUUUUCUCACCUCACUUCGCUUCAAUGUCUACGAAUCAGGGAUUUCCGUAAUCUCCAAUCACUUGCUGAAUCAGCACUGCCCUCGUCCCUCUCUCACCUUGACAUCUCCCAUUGCCCUAAUCUCCAAUCUCUUGGGAUGCCAUCUUCCCUCUCUGAACUAUCUAUUUCCAACUGUCCAUUGCUCACACCACUACUAGAAUUCGACAAGGGGGAAUACUGGCCACAAAUUGCUCAUAUAUCCACCAUACAGAUCGAUGAGGAAUGCCUUUAAUUAUUAAAACAAAAGGCUGAUGUAAGCUCUAUUCUUUUUACUUCACUUUGCUUUUUUUGUUAAUUCUUUUCAUUUUUUAAUCAAAUGUUGGGCUCAUCAUCAAACACAUAGAUAAAUCAGGGAUAACAAUCACAAGUUUUAGGAAAUAAGUGCAACAUUCCAUUGUCACAUGUUAUAUAAUUCUAUAUUUUCUUCGAUGGGGCUGGUAUUGCUAACUUGAACAUGUUCUGUGCUUUAUCAGAUGUGGAUUUUGAAGGGCAAUUACGACAAGUCUGGUGCUUCUAAGGUGCUGCUGCUAUUUUUACAUCUGCUCGCAAGUUCUUUUUUAUUUUUUUUUGUUCUUUUCCGCUAAAGAAAUUAUGUCAUCCACACUGAACUCAGAUCUGCUGUUAUAGGCAAGUCUUCGAGAUGGGGCUAUCAAAGAAGGGUGAUUAAUAUCAUUGUACCGCUGAGACUAUUUCAUGUUUCCAGAGCAAGCCUCUUUUGUAAGUUGACAAACUCGAUUUGUAUAUUUGUUUGGGACUCAACUAGUGGUUAGAGUACUCAUUUUGUAAGAUUUGUGUCCACAAAAUCAAAUUAGAAUGAUAACUCUAGAUAAUUGAAUAAGCUCGAGAAGUGGAUUUGAAUUUCAAAUCGUGACUUUUUUUUUGUGUGUGUGUGAGAGAGAGAAAUUUGAAGUGUUGCUUAGAUUUGUUGGAAUAGCCUAAAGAGAUUAUCUCUAUAAAAUUUGAAGUCAUUUGAUGGAGAUCUGAUUAGACGAUUUUGAACAACAAUUGCAAUUGUUUUCGUAGUUAGCAACGUGUUAUAUAUUUUUAUAGUGGAUAUAUCGUUUUCUCAUUCGGUGCUCUCUUUGGUAUCCACAUUGAAAUCCGACUAAAUUUGGAUUUGCGCAUUUCAAGGGGUGGCUCUCUUGACAUGAUUUUUUCCAUUACAACUAAAAUUCUAAUUUUGAGUGGAGAAUUAAUCUUAACUAUCUCAACACAACUCAUAUCGUGCAAAUAUUUUUGAAAAAACCCGAAUACCUAAAUCCUACACUCAUUACUUCACACAAUUGCGAGAUCCAGAGAAAUAUUUUAGGAUGUAUUGUCAACAUUCUUAGCAUUGUUAGUAAUGUAACCUCAACUAAAAGCUGGACAAUGUUACAAUUUGAGAAAAUGAUCAAAUUUCCCCCAACCUAUUAUCGAAUUCUUAACUACGCACUCCAAGGUCUUAUCACCCAUAAACUGUCUUCAAAUAAAAUAAACAAACCUAUUAAUUUGAAUGCAUAUUAAGUGUUUAUACCGCUAACGAAGAUAUUAAAACCGUUGAAGAGAUCCCAAUAGAAAAAUAAAGCAACAUCGGUUAUGUAGUGUAUAAAUUUCAUAAAACCCUAAGGUACAUGAGAAUAAAGUUGUUUAAUGUAACACAUGUACAUUAUUAGUGGCAACUAUAAUUGCCGCUAAAAGGUUUAUUUGUCGGUAGUAUUUAUUAGUGGCAACUACAGUUGCCGCUAAAAGGUUUGACCGUCGCCACUAAAGUUUUAUUAGUGGCAACUAUAUAAUUGCUGCUACGUUUAUUAGUCGCCUCUAACAGUAUUUAUUAGUGGCAACUAUAAUUGCUGCUAAAAGUUUAUCUGUCGCCAGUAAAAGUAUUAUUAGUGGCAACUAUAAUUGCCGCUAAAAGAUAUAUGAGUCGCCUAAAACUAUAAUUGCCGCUAAAAGAUAUAUGAGUCGCUACUAAAACUAUUUAUUAGUGGCAACUAUAAUUGCCGUUAAAAGGUUAUUGGUCGCUUCUAAAAGUAUUUAUUAGUGUCAACUAUAAUUGCCGCUAAAAGAUAUAUUAGUCGCCACUAAAAGUAUUUAUUAGUUGCCACUAAAAGGUUUAUCAGUUGCCCCUAAAUGUAUUAUUAGUGGCAACUAUAAUUGCCGCUAAAAAAGAUAUAUUAGUCGCCUUUAAAAGUAUUUUGCAACUAUAAUUACCGCUAAAAGGUUUAUCAGUUGCCCCUAAAAGUAUUAUUAGUGGCAACUACAAUUGCCGGUAAAAGAUAUAUUAGUCGCCACUAAAAGUAUUUUGCAACUAUAAUUGCUGCUAAAGGUUUAUUAGUUGCCCCUAAAAGUGUUUAUUAGUGGCAACUAUAAUUGCCGGUAAAAGUUUAUCAGUCACCACUAAAAGAUUUAGUAGUGGCAACUAUAAUUGCUGCUAAUGGUUUUAUUAGUCGCCACUAAAAGUAUCGCUAAAGGCUACGCCACUACAAGUAUUUAUUAGUGGCAACUAUAAUUGCCUCUAAAAGCGAUAUUUGUCGCCACUGAAAAUCUUUAUUAGUAGGAACUAUAAUCGCCGCUAAAAGCUAUAUUAUUCGCCACCAAAAGUUUUUAUUCGUGGCAACUAUAAUUGCCGCUAAAAGAUAUAUUAUUCGCCACUAAAAGUAUUUAUACUAUAAUUGCCGCUAAAAUCUAUAUUAGUUGCCACUAAAAGUAUUUAUUAGCGGCAACUAUAGUUGCCGGUAAAAGCUAUAUUAGUCACCACUAAAAUUCCUUAUUAGUGGCAACUAUUAUUGCCGUAAAAGAUAUAGUAUUUGUCACUAAAAGUCUUUAUUAGUGGCAACUAUACUUGCGGCUACAAACUAUAUUUGUCGCCACCUAAAAGUCUUUAUUAGUGCAACUACAGUUGCCGCCAAAAUCUGUAUUCGUCGCCAAUUUGGAGCAGCUGAGGACAUUGCUUCCGACAUGUAUUUAUCUCAUGGCAAUAUCAUUGUCUCAUUACGAGAUUAAAGAGUUGCCGGAUGACUUUUUUUAUCAAAUUAAAACUCCUCCGAUUUUCGGACCUUUCUUGGACAGUUUAAAAUGUUGCCUGAUUCCAUUUGUGUAUUGUAUAACUUGGAGACACUUCUGCUGUCAUCUUGUUUUGAUCUUGAGGAGCUACCGCUGCAGAUGGAGAAGUUGAUUAGCUUGCGUCAUCUUGACAUAAGCAACACUUCUCGCUUGAAGAAACCGCUACAUCUGAGCAAGUUGAAAAGCCUCCAAGUGCUAGUAGGAGCCAGGUUUGUAGUGGAUAGUCGCGGUAGUUUGAGAAUGAAAUAUUUGGGUGAAUAAGUAAUCAGAUGUGGAUUUUGAAGGGCGAGUACGACAAGUCUGGUCCAUCCAUUGUCUACAAGAAGUGCUUCUAAGGCGCUGCUGCUAUUUCUACAUCUGUUUGCGAGUUCUUUUUUAUUUUUUUUGUUCUUUCCGCUACAGCAAUCUCAUCCACAGUGAACUCAGGUCUGCUGUUAUAGGCAAGUCUUCGAGAUGGGGCUAUCAAAGAAGGGUGAUUAAAAUCAUUGCACCGCUGAUACUAUUUCAUGUUUCCAGUGCAAGCCUCUUUGUAAGUUGAUAAACUCGAUUUGUAAAUACGUUUGGGACUCAACUAGUGGUUAGAGUAUUCAUUUUGUAGGAUUUGUGUCCAAGAAAAUCAAAAUAUUGAACUCUUAUUCAAAGGACAACUCGCGAUUGUUGAAUAAGCUCUGAGAAAUGAAUUUGAAUUUCAAAUCGUGUCUUUUUUAUGUAAGAAAUUUGAAGUAUUGUUUAGAUUUGUUGGAAUAGCCUAAAGAGAUUCUCUCUAUAAAAUUUGAAAUCAUCUGAUUAGAUGAUUUUGAACAACCAUUGGAAUUGUUUUCGUAGUUAGCUACGUGUUAUAUAUUUUUACAGUGGAUAUAAUGUUUUCUCAUUCGGUGCUUGGUAUCCACGUCGAAGUCAAACCAAAUUUGGAUUUGCGUAUUUCAAGGGGCAUGUAUUUAUAUACGAAUGACAUAGAUAUAAGCCAUUUUAAUAAUUCAAUGAUAUAUUUAAGUUUUACACUUAUUAGUAUUUUCAAAAAAAAAAAACAUAUUCUAAAAUUGCUAAUGUUUGCUCUUUCUAUUCUCAAAUUCUGUAAUAUUUAAGAAAUAUUGCAAAUUAUAGGUCACUUUUAACACUAUAUAAUUAUAAGUUUGGGUAAAAAUUUAUCAUUUUAAGCUCUUUUAAUUUUGAACCCUUCACCUCUUGCUUCAAUUAUUUUAUUGAAUAGUCUUUGUCUUAGCUUUUUGUUAGGUGAAAGUUUUUGUCUUCUUAUUAAAAAAAUUAAUUAUAAUGAAAUUUAUGUACUAAUAUUUAUGCAUGAUUUACUUAUUUAUGUUUUAUUUAUUCUAUCUUCUAUUCUUUAUUUAUUCUAUCUUCUAUUCUGUAUAAAAUAAUGCUAUAUAAAUUUGUGUACUAUUUGUGUGAAUUUCUAAAUUGUCAAGCAAACGCAAUAUUAAUUUUAGACAUAAAUAAAUUACCACUAACCCAGAUAUCAAACAUUUUAUCAUUUACACAAAAUUUAAUACUUGCAUAAUUCAUUUCCAAACCAGCUACGAAAUGAUCCACAUCAAAAGUAAAGUAAAAGUACCUUUAGAAAUUGAAGAUGGAAAUAUUUAUCUUCUCAAUUUUUUUUUUUUUAAAAAUCUUUUUGUGGUUCUUUGUUUUGCUUUGCAGGUGUUGAAGAUGUUUCAAAAGCAUACAAAUGAUGUUCAUAUGUUAACGUAACAAUAACAAAAAUAUCUUUUAGAAACAUUAAAUAUUGACAUUAAUAAAGAGUGUUAAAGUUAAAGUCUUUAUCGAAAUUAGUUAAGUGUCAUUAGAACCGUCGCUAAAGGAUUCAGGGACGUAUAUGAAGAGUGACAACUGCCGCUAAAAAUACAUUCCGUUGAUGAUAAUUUUUGUUAUAGUGCGUCAUGGUUUAUUAUGUAUAAAAAAUUAUUAAAUAAUGAUUUUUUUAAAAGAAAAAUAAUAAAAAGAACUCUUCAAGAAGGUAAAGUAUACAUGUUAAUUAUAUUGUAAGUUUCUAUUUUAACUCUUUUAUUUUUGAGUCCCCCCUAAUCAAUAACCCUACCCCUCUUGCUUCAAUUAUUGAAUUGAGGAAAUAAUGAAUAGUAAUUGUCUUCUUGUUAGGUGAAAGUCUUGUCUUUUUGUUGGGUGAAAAAUUUUCUUUUUCUAAAAAAAGAGAAAUAAAGACAAUUUUGUUUUUUCCUUUAAUUAAUUAUAAUGAAAUCUAUGUAUUAUUUAGUCCAUGCUUUACUUAUUUAAUCUUUAUAUUCCGUAUAAAAUACUUAAGUAUAAUCAAAUACCGUAUUAAUUAAUUUUAUACAUGAUAACUUACCUCUUAACCAACUAACAAACAUGAUAUCGCUUAUACAUAAUUUAAAACUUGCAUAAUUUAUUUCCAAACAAGCUACCAAACGACCUAUAAUUAGCAUUAACAGGUAAAGUAAAGUUUCUUUGGUAGUUUUGAAGAUAAAAACAUUUAUCUUCUCAAAAUUAAUUUUUUAAGACCAUUUUGUGGUUCUUUAUUUUGCUUUGCAGAUGUGGUGUAUGUGGUUGUGUAGAGAUAUUUUUUUUUUCGAUGACUAUUCUAACCCACCCCACCCCGCAAUCGCAUAAGUCCAAACCCGCCUCAUCCUGGUCCGCAUCUAUCACGCUCCAUUUUCAUCCCUACUUUUCAUUGAUUUUUAUUAGGUUUGGUGACAAUUGAACUUUAUAAAUUACUUUGGCACAACUUGUGUUGUCUUAUCCCAAGCUUUAGUACUUUUUCCACUACUUCAUAAUAACUCAAUAGACCAAAUAGCUGUGAAUUGAUGUACUCACUCUGUUUUAAUGUUAAUGUCCUAGUUUACUUACUAGAGCACGAUGUUUACGAAAUAAAAUGAGACUUUUCAAUCUUAGGCUCUUAAAUUAAGAUAUUGUGCUUCAAUACACAGAGGAAUAGGGCAAGGGCACGUUGGUAUAUGAAGCAUUCCGCGUUAAUAUGAUUGGGGGAAAAGGUGUAUCUCAAAGGAAUGUGAUGUAUACAACCUAACCUAAUACAAAGAUUAGUAUUAUUAGCCUUCACAGCUCAACUCUGUGUGUGACGUGUAGACAAAUUUACCGUUGCACCAACUUAUUCAUGAUAUAAUUGUCCCUGGGUAGAAAUUUAUUACUUGAUGGCCCUUUCUACACCCACCCUUAUUCUCUUGCUUCAAUUAUGGAAUGAAAAAACAGACUCCAUUGGAAAAAGGACAGUUUGCAAACACAGCUGUAACAAUUCAGAACACUAGCAAAAUAGAGAGAGUUUUGAGAGAAAUUCUUGUUUGCAAAUUACUCUUACCCUUCAGCAGGUAAAACAAAGCUCUUAACUGAGACUAUUUGAAGAUAUAUUGUGUUAAAGAAUCAUUUUGUGUGUUUUGAUUUACAGAUUUCAGAAAUGGAGAUUGGAUUAGCAGUUGGUGGUGCAUUUCUCUCUUCAGCUUUGACUGUUCUCUUUGAUAGGCUUGCUCCUAACGGUGAUCUGCUCAACAUGUUUCAGAAGCAUAAGGAUCAUGUUAAGCUCUUAAACUCCAAGAAGUAGUGAUAUAUUUUUAUAGUGGAUAUGUUGUUUGCUCAUUCGGUGCUUGAUAUCCACAUUGGAGUCCAACUAAAUUCGAAUUUGUACAUUUGAAGGAGCGGCGCUCCUGACAUGAUUUUUUCCCAUUCUACGACUCAUGCUCCUAAAUUCUAAUUAAGGAUAGAAAAAUCUCAACUAUCUCACCCCAACUCAUAUCAGUUAUAUUCGAUAUAAAGUGUAAACUAAAAAUUUUAUCAUAUCAUAUAUUAUUAUAAGAGGGAAUCAAAAAAGUUAAAAGUUAAAUUACGAUUUUAUCCUUAUUAUAAAUUAAAAUGUUAUAAAAAUAUUUAACUAUUUAAUUUAAAUAUUAAGUUACAUUAUUUUAAUAGAAAUGUUAAUGACUUUUGCACUUCUUUAGAAUAAUUCUUAAUUAAAAUAUCUAAUUUAAUUUAUUUUCUUGAAAUAUUUACCCUUUAAAUAGAUACAUGUAUAUGGUUUAUCUUCUAAAUUAAUUUAUGUUCUUAAUUAAUGUUUGUCUUUAAUUUUUAUAACACUUGACCUUUCAACUUUGUAAGUGAAUCUUCACAUUCCAAAGCUAUAUUUUUUCCUAUAAAUAUAAUCUUUUAAUAUUAUUUUUAUAGAAAGAUUUAUAUGUGAUACAAUUUUUGUGUGUGGAAGACUAGAGAAGCUUUAAUCAAGUGAAGAAAAUUUCAAGUCAAGAGGAUUUAUGUCAAGAUUACAAGGCAUAAUGUGAUUCUACUAAAGUAUCGAAGCUUGAUGUAUUUAUUUUUUUAAUUAUUUGUCGAGAUCGAAACUAUGGUAAGACCCCUCCAUUUAUGUAGUUAAAUAUCACUUCCAUUAACUUGUCUUCCAAAUAUUUUAAUUUUUUAUGGUCAAAAGUUGAAUGUUUAUUACUAUAACUUUGUUUCAAUUUGCAUUAUCAAAAAAAAAAAAGGAAAAAGAUUGUCAUAGAAUUUUUCUAUUUUUUGUUGGUUGCGUUAUGCUAAACUUGCUCCUAUAUAUGAUACUUUUUCUCUGUAUUUGUAAUUGUUUUAAGGAUAUUUGAUUGAAGGGUGUAUUUUUGCUUUAGAAAAUGAGACAAAUACGAUCAUAAAAAUAGUGUAUAAGACAUGCAAAACAAUUAAUGCCUACAAGAUUUUCUAAUUUCAAAUUUUAUUAAUAAUUACAUUUAUGCAUUUUAAAUUUUAAAUAUUUGUAAAGAAUCAUUCUUACAUGUGCUUGUGGAUAAAAUCUAUAGUUUUUCGACAAUUUUCAUUAAAAUUAUCAUGAGAUCCAAAUCCCAAAAUCAAAAAAAUGAUACAUCAAAAUGCUUAAGAAGUUAGAAGAUCUUUUAUCCUUUGACUAAAUAUUGCUCCUAUUAAUUUUCUAACAAAAAAAUAUAAAAUAUAUUUUAACAAACUUUUAAUUGUAAGAAUACUAAUAUUGUCAUUUUGACUCUCCAUUAAAUUAAAAUCUGAUUUAUUUAAUUAAAUAUAAAUAUUUUAUUUGUACAAUUACAUAAUUUAAAUAUCAAUCAUUGCACUUUAAAUCUUAGUUAUUUCCUUCUAAUAAGUUUUUUAUUUAUAAAUUUGAAUUACUUAAUUGCAUUCUACUUAAUGAGAAGGGGAAUUUCAUCUUUUACUAAUUAAUGUCAAACAUUUUAUCUUCUUGAAAUGUAUAAAUAUUAAUUUAAUUUCAACAUUUUUAUGAGACAUAAAAGACAUUUUAAGAAAGUUAAUCAUAAGAUAGUGUGCCUCCAUUUAUGUUUUUUGCUACUUUAUUUUAUCUUUUAAACAAAUAUAUAAUCAAAAUUAUAAUAAAGGGAGGACUAAUGUAAAAAAAUUCUUCAAGUUAACUAUACAUUACAAACAUUUUUAAAAAAAUUAAAUUGUUUAUCAUUUUAUUCAUAGUUAUGAAGUAAACGUGCAACACACUUGCCCAUAUACUAGUAUUAUUAAAAGCAUGAACAAAAAAGUUGAAAGUUGAAUUACGGUUUUACCCCUUCUAUAAAUUAAAUUGUUAUAAAAUAUUUAAAUAUUUGAUUGUAUAAAUUUAAUUAAAUGUUAAUGACUUUUAGACUUCCUAAAAUUAAUUCCUAAUUAAAUAUCUAAUCUAUUAAUAUUUAUCAUCUAUAAUCUAUAUGUAUGUAAUAAUUAUAAUUUUUUUAAAAAAAAUCUUUACCUAAAUUUCUUUUCUUUUCCUCUUCUUAUAACUUUUUCCUUGACCCCUCUCAUGAAUAAUAAAUAUAAUUGAUAUGGAUAAAGUAUUAUCCUUUAUGAGAAACAACGAAAUUUAAUAAUUUAAAGGGUGCAAAUCUACAAAAUGGAGGUGCACAUUGAUAAUGUCCUCUUGAUUAUUAUUAAAGAAUGACUCUAGCUUCACAAAUUUAAAUUCAUUAAUGCUUAAUUACAUGAUUUGAACUUUAGUUGUUCUUUUUACAUGGUUUGCUAACUUUAUUUUUUUUUCAUAUUCUUCAUUUAUUUAUUAUUAUUUUCUAAUUACUUAUUUAACUUUUAUACUCUUAAUAUUCACAACUCUCAUCUUUUCAUAUUCAUAACCUCCAAACAUUUAAACUAAAAUUUUAAGAUAUCUUUUGAUAUUCCUUCUAUUCUAUUUAUAUAAAUUCAACUUCUUUAUCUCAUGAAACCCAUAUGAAGAUUAUUAGGCUAUUUAUUUUAAUCUAUAGUAAAAACAGAUGAUGAAGACUCUUGAAUUUUGAUAGGAUAUGAAAGGAGUCGAUAAAAACUCAGAGAGUUAUGUACUAAUUUUGUACUUAUAUUUUCAUCUAUAUAUAUCAAUCUUAUAAGAAUAAUGUCUAUAUUGUAUUUUUACUUAAAUAUUCUGUUUCUUUUUGUCUUUUUUUCACUCUUUUAGACUUCUUAAUUUAGUUUUCUAUAAAUGUUUUAUUGUCGUAAGUCUUUAUUCUUAUUUUUUAAUUAUUACAUUUUAUUAUUCAUUACAAUUUACGAAUAUAUUUCCAUGAAAUUUUAGUCAUUCCAACGUAUCUAUAAAAAUUCACAUGAAACACACGUGCGAAGCACGUCCUCAGAAACUAGUAUUAUUAUAACAGGGAACCAAAAGAAGUUAAACGUUGAAUUAUAAUUUUACCCUUACUGUAAAUUAAAAUGUUAUAAAAGCAUUUAAUUAUUUAGUUUAAAUGUUAAAUUGUAUCAUUUUAAUAAAAAUAUAGAUGACUUUUGCAUUUCCUUAAAUUAAUUCUUAAUUAAAAUAUAAGCAAAUAAUUAAAUGUUUAGAAUGUGAAAAGAUAUAUUUUAAUUGUACAUGUAUGUAUAUCCUAGAAUAAUUACUGGCAUAUGAAAAGAGUGACCCCCCAUUUAUCUGAUUAAUGCCACUGGUUUUAUUUAUUUGAUUUAUUAUUACUAAGAUAUUAAAAGUGUGUUAUUAUAUAUGAAUGACUUAGUAAUAAAUUAUUGAGAUGACUUGUAAUCGCCUCACUUAUUACUAAUUACAAUGAUUUGUGUUUUUCAUCUUUUUAAUUAUUCAUUCAAACUAGACUAAAAUUCCAAGUUCAAAGCAAUAAUUAUUAGUUGUAAUGUUAAUUCUCUUAUUAAGUCUAACUAUGACAUAUAUUUUUCAUCUUUCCAUCCAUCUAUAUAUUUUAGAACUGAAAAAUAUAGAAUUUAAACAGACAUUUUUUACUGCUAUUUAAGAACUAGGUGAUAGCCAGUGAAAAAUGAAAAAAAAUUGUAAUUCAACUGAUAAUCAAAAAACUAUUUCAUCUAUGAUAGGCAAAAAAAGACAUGAAAAAAUAGAAUACAUGAGGUGGGGAGAAGAACUUGAAGACUUCUUUUUAGACAUGCCUAAGUCCUCAUAUCUCUUUCGAUAUAUAUUCUCCAUCACGAAGAUUAUUGUUGUUUCUAAUUUCUUUUGCGUUCUAAUAAACUCAUUGUGGUGUUGUAAUCUUUUAACUAUUAUUAUGAGCUUUUGAAGUAGAUGUAUAUAUGAAGUUCAGUAUUUAAAUUAUAUAUCUGUCAGUUUUAUAUUUUAAAUGUAAUUGCUUUUAAUAUUGUAUAAUUUUGAUAAUACUGUCUUUUAAUUUUAGAACCUUACUUAAAAAUAAUAUAAAUAUUUCACUCUAUCGUUUCUCAUUAAAAUAAUAUAGGCAAUCUUAUCAAUAAGUGUGCAUGUAUUUUUCAUAUCCAUUUAUGGCUAUAAAAGGUUAUCACUAAUAUUUAGAUCAUAAAAAAGACUUGGACAAAGUUAAAAGAGACUAUAUUAUAUUAAUUAAUUUUACAUACUUUUUGCUUGAUGCCAAAUGUGCUAUCCCUUUUUAUUUAUUUUUGUUGAUACAUGAAAUAUAAUUGGUAAAAUUAAUAUUGUUGAUUUAAACAUUUUCUAUUUGAUAGCACAAUUUUAAAUUAUAUAACAAUAGUAAAAAAUAAACGUGCAACGCACGUUGUUAGAAACUAGUAUUUUUGAAAAAACCCAAAUAACUACAGCCUACACUCAUUAAAGAAAGUUCAAGGUUAAGACAAUGUUUUCUGUUAAAAAAUUCUCAUUAUUAUCUAGUAAUCUCAAUUUACCACAAAAUAAAAAAUCAAAAAUAUUUUCAUAUGCUUCAAUUGAUUCAAAUCUAUUUUGAAAUGAAAAAAUAGGUUGAUUCACACGUUUGUAUAAAUCGAAAUUUGUAUAACUUUUGUAUAAUGUAAUUUCAUAUAGUAUAAUUUGUAAAACUGUUUACACUUCAAAUGUUUGUAAAUUGUAUAAAUUCGUUAUUUUUCAAGUUUAUACAAAAAUAACUAAAUUAUACAAAUGUACCCGCGAAUUAUAUAAACCUGCAAAUUAUAAAAACUCGCGAAUUAUACAACGAGUAAGCUUAAACUAUAGCUACAAUUUAUAAAUAUGUGAAUUAUAGCAAUGAAGCAUAAUUAGAUUUAUUAUACUGGUUAUUUGCGAAAGUUCCCUUUUUUUAGUACACAUUUUAUUCCUCAUAAAAACAUAAGAAUCCUAUUCUUGUUUCUUUUUUUUAAAGAGAGAAUACAUAGUUAUAACACAAACAGUUGAGGAUUGCACAACAACUUGUGAUCAUCGAUUGCGAGAAGCUGGUGAAUGGCCGAAAUAUUGAUGUCUGGUAGAGAGAGUUUAUAUGUAAUCUAGCGAAAAAUCUAUAGAGUGACAAGGUUGGAGAUAGAUUUUUUAAAACUAAAUAUGCCACUAUUACAAUUAAUAUUAAACAUAUGCUAAUUGUACUCAAUCCGUUGAGUUGUUGCUUCAGUAAAAGGAAAAAAAGAAGAAGCUAUUUCUUAGUCUGUAUUUUGUAGUUUUGCAUAUUGCUAAAACUACAGUAUAUGUUGGAUGUUUGUAUGUUAGGUCAACAUAGAAAAAUAGAAACAACCAACAUACCAAGUAUAACCCACGUACAAGUGGGGUGUGUAUGUAGACCUUAUCACUAUCUGUAGGGUACAGAGAUUGUUUCGGAAAGGCCAUCAGCUCAAGUAAACACAGAAAAAACAAUACCAUUGAGAAAAGGAAAAUGUUACAGAAUCCAAUUCUAAAACGUAUUCAUGAUAUGCUGGGCUCAAUUAAGCACACUACACUGAGCUGUUUAAAAAUGAAUAAGUGCAUAAAGCAAAAGUAAUGAAUAGACAUAAAGCAAAAGAUACUUGCCUCAAUUAUUCAACUUUUUGAAAAGAGAAAAGAGGAAAGUUUUGCUUCUUGUAGAUUAGCUAGAACAUAGUUGUACUAAACAAAGAGAGAGCAAUCGCUGAUCAUUCUUGUUUGCAAAUUACUCUUAGCAUUCAACAGGUAGAAUUAAGCUCAUAACAGACACUAUUUGAAGAUAUAUUUUGUUAAAGAAUCAUAUUGUGUGUUUCCUUGUUUUGCUUUUGCAGAUUUGAGAAAUGGAGAUUGGCUUAGCAGUUGGUGGUGCAUUUCUCUCCUCGGCUUUGAAUGUUCUCUUUGAUAGGCUUGCUCCUAACGGUGAUCUGCUCAACAUGUUUCGGAAGCAUAAGGAUCAUGUUAAGCUCUUAAAGAAGCUGGAGGACAUUUUGCUUGGUCUUCAGAUUGUGCUAAGUGAUGCAGAGAAUAAGCAAGCAUCAAAUCGACAUGUGAGCCAAUGGUUUAAUAAGCUUCAGAGUGCUGUGGAAGGCGCUGAAAACUUGAUAGAAGAAUUCAAUUAUGAAGCUUUGAGGCUUAAGGUGGAAGGCCAGCAUCAAAAUCUUGCAGAAACAAGCAAUCAACAAGUAAGUGACCUCAACCUGUGCUUGAGUGAUGAUUUCUUUCUUAACAUAAAGGAAAAGUUGAAAGAAACCAUUGAAACAUUGGAGGUGUUGGAAAAGCAAAUUGGUCGCCUUGGCUUAAAGGAGCAUUUUAUUUCGACCAAACAAGAAACUAGAACACCUUCAACUUCUUUGGUUGAUGAUUCUGGUAUCUUUGGAAGGCAGAAUGAAAUAGAGAAUUUGAUUGGCCGUUUGUUGUCUAUGGAUACAAAGGGAAAAAAUCUGGCUGCAGUUCCUAUUGUUGGAAUGGGCGGCUUGGGUAAGACAACACUUGCUAAAGCCGCUUACAAUGAUGAGAGAGUGCAGCCAAGUGCAAAGGACAUCCUAUGGGACAUCCGGAACUUGAAGAGGUCGGAAGACAAAUUGCAGCCAAGUGCAAAGGACUGCCCUUAGCUCUUAAGACGCUCGCUGGCAUGUUACGCCCCAAAUCAGAGAUUGAUGAGUGGAAAUGUAUUUUGAGAAGUGAAAUAUGGGAGCUGCGAGACAAUGACAUAUUACCAGCGUUAAUGUUGAGCUACAAUGAUCUUCCCGCACAUUUAAAGCGAUGCUUUUCUUUUUGUGCAAUAUUUCCUAAAGAUUAUCCAUUUAGGAAAGAACAAGUUAUUCAUCUAUGGAUUGCCAAUGGUCUCGUACCAGUGAAAGAUGAAAUAAAUCAAGAUUUAGGCAACCAAUACUUUCUAGAGUUGAGAUCAAGAUCAUUAUUUGAAAAGGUCCCAAAUCCUUCUAAAAGGAACAUAGAGGAAUUAUUCCUAAUGCAUGACCUUGUCAACGAUUUAGCCCAAAUUGCAUCUUCAAAACUUUGUAUCAGGUUGGAAGAGAGAAAAGGAUCUUUUAUGUUGGAAAAAAGUUGGCACGUAUCUUAUUCAAUGGGAAGAGAUGGUGAGUUUGAGAAAUUGACACCCCUCUACAAAUUGGAGCAGCUGAGGACAUUGCUUCCGAUACGUAUUGAAUUCAGAUCGCACUAUCUAAGCAAGAGGGUGUUGCAUAACAUACUGCCUACACUAAGAUCCUUGAGGGUACUAUCAUUGUCUCAUUACAAGAAUAAGGAGUUGCCAAAUGACUUGUUUAUCAAAUUAAAGCUCCUCAGAUUUUUGGACCUUUCUGAGACAUGGAUUAAAAAGUUGCCAGAUUCCAUAUGUGGAUUGUAUAACUUAGAGACACUUCUCCUGUCAUCUUGUUGUUCUCUUAAGGAGCUACCGCUGCAUAUGGAGAAGUUGAUUAACUUGCGUCAUCUUGACAUAAGCAACACUUGGCGCUUGAAGAUGCCACUACAUCUGAGCAGGUUGAAAAGCCUCCAAGUGUUGGUGGGAGCCAAGUUUCUUGUAGGUGGUUGGAGAAUGGAAUAUUUGGGUGAAGCACAAAACUUAUAUGGAUCUCUAUCAGUUGUAAAGUUGGAAAAUGUGGUUGAUAGAAGGGAAGCUGUGAAGGCAAAGAUGAGGGAGAAGAAUCAUGUUGAGCAAUUAUCAUUGGAGUGGAGUAAAAGUAGUAUUGCCGACAAUUCACAAACAGAAAGAGACAUACUUGAUGAGCUACACCCACAUAAAAACAUAAAAGAAGUUGUAAUCAGUGGAUAUAGAGGGACAAACUUUCCCAAUUGGGUAGCUGAUCCUUUGUUUGUUAAGCUGGUGAAAUUGUCUCUUAGCUACUGCAAGGACUGUUACUCCUUGCCAGCACUAGGACAACUCCCUUGUUUGAAAUUCCUUUCUGUUAAAGGGAUGCAUGGAAUAAGAGUGGUGACGGAAGAAUUCUAUGGCAGAUUGUCGUCCAAAAAGCCUUUUAACUGUCUUGAGAAGCUUAAAUUUGAAGAUAUGACGGAGUGGAAGCAAUGGCACGCACUAGGAAUUGGAGAGUUCCCUACACUUGAGAAACUUUCAAUUAAAAAUUGCCCUGAGCUCAGUUUGGAGAGACCCAUCCAAUUUUCAAGUUUAAAAAGGUUAGAAGUUGUUGGUUGUCCAGUUGUUUUUGAUGAUGCUCAACUGUUUAGAUUCCAACUUGAAGCAAUGAAGCAGAUUGAAGCAUUAAAUAUCAGUGAUUGUAACUCUGUUACCUCCUUUCCUUUUAGCAUACUGCCCACUACCUUGAAGAGAAUACAGAUAUCUGGUUGCCCAAAAUUGAAAUUUGAGGUACCAGUUUGUGAGAUGUUUGUGGAGUAUUUGGGUGUGAGUAAUUGUGAUUGUGUAGAUGAUAUGUCACCUGAGUUUAUCCCAACAGCACGUAAAUUGAGUAUUGAGAGUUGCCACAACGUUACUAGGUUUUUGAUUCCUACUGCCACUGAAACUCUCUGUAUUUUCAAUUGUGAGAAUGUUGAAAAACUAUCGGUGGCAUGUGGAGGAGCUGCCCAGCUGACGUCACUGAAUAUUUCGGCGUGUGAGAAGCUCAAGUGUCUGCCAGAAAAUAUGCUGGAACUCCUUCCAUCUCUCAAGGAACUGCGACUGACUAAUUGUCCAGAAAUAGAAGGAGAAUUGCCCUUCAAUUUACAAAAACUCUAUAUCAGAUAUUGCAAGAAACUGUUGAAUGGCCGAAAGGAGUGGCAUUUACAGAGACUCACAGAGUUAGUGAUCCAUCAUGAUGGGAGUGACGAAGAUAUUGAACAUUGGGAGUUGCCUUGUUCUAUUACAAGACUUGAGGUAUCCAAUCUGAUAACAUUAAGAAGCCAACAUCUCAAAAGCCUCACCUCUCUUCAAUAUCUACGUAUUGAUGGUAAUUUAUCUCAGAUUCAGUCACAAGGCCAGCUUUCCUCCUUUUCUCACCUCACUUCGCUUCAAACUCUACGAAUCCGUAAUCUCCAAUCACUUGCUGAAUCAGCACUGCCCUCCUCCCUCUCUCACCUGAACAUCUACAAUUGCCCUAAUCUCCAAUCACUUUCAGAAUCAGCACUGCCCUCCUCCCUCUCUCACCUGACCAUCUACAAUUGCCCUAAUCUCCAAUCACUUUCAGAAUCAGCACUGCCCUCCUCCCUCUCUAAACUAUGGAUUUUCAAAUGUCCAUUGCUCAGAUCACUACUAGAAUUUGUAAAGGGGGAAUACUGGCCACAAAUUGCUCAUAUCCCCACCAUACAGAUCGAUUGGGAAUAUAUUUAACAAUUAAAACAAAUGGCUCUCCAACUGAUGUAAGCUAUUCGUUACCCUCAGAAGCUUUUUAUUUCACUUUGCUUUUUUCUUAAUUCUUUUCAUUUUAAAUCAUGUCGUGCUCAUCAUCAAACACAUAGCUUUAUAGGUAAGCUCCAUACAGAAUCUAACUUUUUGAAAGGAUAAUUCGAUCACAAGUUUUAGGAAAUAACUGCAACUUCCAUUGUCAGAUGUUAUAUGAUUUUAUGUUUCUCAUGGCUUAUUGGUUUAUGCUCUUACCGUGUUUUUAUUCAAGUCUUAAUUGCCACCAUGUUUAAUCAAAAGUUUUUAGUUCUUGUAAUCAUCAACCAUCCUAUGUCACUAGAAAUUUUGAUAGAUAAAAGAGGUAGACAAAAAAAGCGAAACAUCUUUUUUCUUUCGUAUAGCGACCAGACAACUACAUUUUGAUAGGUAAGGGCUAUAGAUAUACAUUUGCAGGGUGUUAAUCCAACGAGUUAGAAAAUCCCUGUCUUUAGAUAUCUUCUCUUGCAUAUACUUUUGCAAUUUUAAGCUACAGUUUGAACUCAUGUGUUGUUGCUAACUUAAACAUGUUUUGUGCUUAAUCAGAUGUGGAUUUUGAAGAGCGAGUACGACAAGUCUGGUACAUUAAUUGUCCGUAGGAAGUGUUUCUAAGGUGCUGCUGCUAUUUUUACAUCUGUUCCCGAUUUUUGUUUUUUUUUUUAAAUCUUUCCACUAAAGCUAUUAUGUUGUCCACAGUGAAUUUUCAGGUCUGUUGUUAUAGGCAAGUCUUUGAGAUGCGACUAUCAAAGAAGGGCGAUUACAAUCAGUGUACCGCUGAUACUAUUUCAUGUUUCUAGUGCAAGCUUCUUUUGUAAGUUGACAAACUCGAUUUCUAAAUAUGUUUGGGACUCAACUAGUGGUUAGAGUACUCAUUUUGUAAGAUUUGUGUACAGAAAAUUAAAUCAAAUUAGAAAGAUAACUCGCAAUGGUUGAAUAAGCUCGAAGAAGUGGAUUUGAAUUUUAAUCUAUGUGUGUGUGUGUGAGAAAUUUGAAGUGUUGUUUAGAUUUGUUGGAAUUGUCUAAAGAGUUUGUCUCUACAAAGUUUGAAGACAUUUGAUGGAGAUAUGACUAGAUGAUUUUGAACAACAAUUGCAACUGAAGAUGGAUAUGGAUAUUAUUUUCUUAGCAAUGUGUUAUAUAUUUUUUUAUUGGAUGUAUUGUUUUCUCAUUCAGUGUUUGGUAUCCGCACCCAGAAAUAGAAGCGACUAAUACUAAACCCCUAAAUCAGAUGGUCGAGAAACUCAAUACCACUAUUCUCAAACAACUUGGACCAGGGCCUUUGUUCUGCAUUGUUACUGUGAUAUGAAAAUAAUCGUCAAAAUCGGAUUAAAUUGUCAACUGCCCCCAUUGGAAAUAUAGAAUUGACUCUAAAGGAACUGGAAUUACAUCUCUUUUCCAUUCAAGAACUUUUACGCAUUUUCACGAUCUUUUAAGACCGCAAAAAAUAGAGAAAUUUCUUUUCUUAGAAAUACAUACAAGAUUCAUCGCAACAAAAAAGAUACAUUUUCAAGAAAUAAGAGAUAUGCAGUAUUUUGCUUACCUUAAUAUCAGUCAUAUCACUACUUUAUUAAAUAUAUAUUCUUUCCAAUUAUUUUAAGUACAUUAUAUUAUUUAUUAAUCAUAUAUUGCAUUUACACUAUUCGUUUUUUGUAAAAUAUGUCUAUUAUUUGGUGGUAUGUCAGUCCCCACCAAAGACUAAACUAUAGGUCUUUAAAACUUUUUUUCUCCAACCACCCCUCCAAAAAAAAAUACUAAACAAAAUGUUUAUAAAGAUUACGAAAAUUUAUUAGUUAAAAAAAGUGGUGUAUGAUCGAGAAAAGAGAGGAAGGAAGUCUUAACGAAGAAAUGGGAAGUUUCACAAAGAGAUAGGUGAAUGACGUGAUUAUUUUGUUGUGUAUUAAAUAAGUCUGAAUAUUGUUAAAAAAUUUGAUUCGUUUUGAUCUUUUCAGAUCUAUUAAAAGUUUUUUUUGAAAAAAAUAGAUAAAUAAACUUAAUCGAUUGAAUCUGAAUAAUUAAAAUUCUAAACUUUAAAAAGUUACUCUACAAAUAUUGCCACUAUACCAAUAGGUCAAUAUUAACCCCAAAAGUCUUUGCAUGAACACAUGUAGUUGUUAUGUACCUAUUGUUGUAAAUAACAAAUACAAAUAUGUUUUUGCCUAAUCUGAAUUAGCUUGGUAAUAAUUUAUUAUGGAGUGUUUUAGCUCUCACUAUCAAGAGGACUUCAUCACAACCAUUCAAGCUCGAAAACUCUAAUUAAAUACGGGAAAACUUUUAUCAUUUCACUGUGGCUCUUGGUGUUAUCAAAUUCCCAACUUCUUGACAUGUUUUCAAGUAUAAAAAAAUAUUAUGAAGACAAAAAAGUCUUGUUGUUUGCUGAAAUGUCAUAUUCAUGGAAAAGAGAAAUUCUUUAAUUUUUUUCCCUAUAGCUGUCAGUUGUACACUGUAGAAACUAUUGUUGUACCAAUAUUCUUGUUUGCAAAUUACUCAUAGAAUUCAAACAAGUAAAUCAAAGUUAUUAGUAAUUGAAGUUAGAGACAUUCAUCUUCUAAAAAUUCUUAAAACAUCAUUUUGUGUUUUGCUUUGCAGAUUUCAGAAAUGGAGGUUGGCUUAGCAGUUGGUGGUGCAUUUCUCUCCUCAGGCCUGCAAGUUAUCUUUGAUAGGCUUGCACCUAAGGGUGAUCUGCUCAAGAUGUUCCAGAAGCAUAAGAAAGAUGUUCGUCUCUUAAAGAAGUUGAGAAUGACUUUGCUUGGUCUUCAAGCUGUGCUAAGUGAUGCAGAGAAUAAGCAAGCAUCAAAUCAAUUUGUGAGAGAGUGGCUUAAUGAGCUUCGAGAUGCUGUGGAUGGUGCUGAAAACUUGAUUGAACAAGUCAAUUAUGAAGCUUUGAGACUUGAGGCUGAAGGUAAGCAUCAAAAUCUUGGAGAAACAAGCAACCAGCAAGUAAGUGAACUUAACCUGUGCUUGAGUGAUGAUUUCUUUCUUAACAUAAAGAACAAGUUGGAAUACACUAUUGAAACAUUGAAGGAUUUGCAAGAGCAAAUUGGUGACCUUGGAUUAAAGGAGCAUUUUGGUUCGACUAAACAAGAAACGAGAACACCUUCAACUUCUUUGGUUGAUGAUUCUGAUAUCUUUGGAAGGCAGAAUGAUAUAGAGGAAUUGAUUGACCGUUUAUUGUCUGAAGAUGCAAGUGGAAAAAAGCUGACUGUAGUUCCAAUUGUUGGAAUGGGCGGCGUGGGUAAGACAACACUUGCUAAAGUCGUUUACAAUGAUGAGAAGGUGAAGGACUAUUUUGAUUUGAGAGCUUGGUUUUGUGUUUCUGAGGCAUAUGAUGCUUUUAGAAUAACAAAAGGUUUACUUCAAGAAAUUGACUCAUAUGACUUGAAGGCUGAUGAAAAUCUUAAUCAGCUACAAGUCAAAUUAAAGGAAAGCUUAAAAGGAAAGAAGUUUCUUGUUGUUCUAGAUGAUGUGUGGAAUGACAACUACACCGAGUGGGAUGAGUUGAGAAAUGUUUUUGUACAAGGAGAUAUAGGAAGUAAGAUUAUUGUGACGACACGUAAAGAGAGUGUUGCCUUGAUGAUGGGCUGUGGGGCAAUCAAUGUGGGGACUCUAUCUGAUGAAGCCUCUUGGGAUCUAUUGAAACGACAUUCACUAGAAUAUAAGGAUCCUAAAGAACAUCCAGAAUUUGAAGAGAUUGGAAAACAAAUUGCAUGCAAAUGCAAAGGAUUGCCUUUAGCUCUAAAGGCACUUGCUGGUGCUUUACGCUGCAAAUCAGAGGUGGAUGAGUGGAGAGACAUUUUAAGAAGUGAAAUAUGGGAGCUUCCAAGUUGUUUAAAUGGUAUAUUACCAGCGUUGAUGUUAAGCUACAAUGAUCUUCCUGCACCUUUGAAGCAAUGUUUUGCUUAUUGUGCAAUAUAUCCCAAAGAUUAUCAAUUUUGCAAAGACCAAAUUAUUCACCUGUGGAUUGCUAAUGGUCUUGUACAGCAGUUGCUUUCAGGUAACCAAUACUUUCUCGAGUUGAGGUCAAGAUCACUUUUCGAAAGGGUCCCCGAGUCUUCUGAAUGGAAUUCAGAGAAAUUCUUAAUGCAUGACCUUGUCAAUGAUUUGUCCCAAAUUGCUUCUUCAAAUCUUUGUAUAAGGUUGGAAGAGAAAAAAGGAUUGCACAUGUUGGAACAAUGUCGGCACAUGUCCUGUUUAAUAGGAGAAGAUGGUGACUUUGAGAAAUUGAAAUCACUCUUUAAAUCAGAGCAGCUGAGGACAUUACUUCCAAUCAAUAUCCAGCCCUAUUAUAACAACAAUAAUCUAAGCAAGAGGGUGCAGCUUAACAUACUGCCUAGACUAAGAUCCUUGAGGGUAUUAUCACUAUCUCAUUACAGUAUUAAGGAGUUGUCAAAUGACUUGUUUAUCAAAUUAAAGCUCCUGAGAUUUUUGGAUAUCUCUCACACGAAGUUUAAAAGGUUGCCAGAUUCCAUUUGUGUGUUGUAUAACUUGGAGACACUUCUCCUGUCCUCUUGUGCAGAUAUUGAGGAGCUACCGCUGCAGAUGGAGAAGUUGAUCAACUUACAUUACCUCGACAUAAGCAACACUCCUCGCUUGAAGAUGCCGCUACAUCUGAGCAAGUUGAAAAGCCUCCAAGUGCUAGUGGGAGCCAAGUUUCUUCUAGGUGGUUCGAGAAUGGAAGAUUUGGGUGAAGUACAUAACUUGUACGGAUCUCUAUCAGUUUUAGAGUUGCAACAUGUGGUUGAUAUUAGGGAAGUUUUGAAGGCAAAGAUGAGGGAGAAGAAUCAUGUUGACAAGUUAUCAUUGGAGUGGAGUGGAAGUAGUAGUGCCGACAAUGCACAAACAGAAAGAGACAUACUUGAGGAGCUACGCCCACAUAAAAACAUAAAAGAAGUCGAAAUCAUUGGAUAUAGAGGGACAAACUUUCCCGAUUGGGUUGCUGAUCCUUUGUUUGUUAAGCUAGUGAAAUUGUCUCUUAGAAACUGCAAGAACUGUUAUUCGUUGCCAGCACUAGGACAACUCCCUUGUUUGAAAUUUCUUUGGAUUAGAGGGAUGCAUGGAAUAACAGAGGUGACGGAAGAAUUCUAUGGUAGUUUGUCGCCUUUUAACUCUCUUGUGGAGCUUAGAUUUGAAGAUAUGCCUGAGUGGAAGCAAUGGCACCUACCAGGAAGAGGAGAGUUUCCUACACUUGAGAAGCUUUUGGUUAAAAAUUGCCCUGAACUCAGUUUGGAGACACCGAUCCAACUUUCAAGUUUAAAAAGAUUUAAUGUUAUUGGUUGUCCAAAGGUUGGAGUUGUUUUUGAUGAAGGGAUGAAACAAAUUGAGGAAUUUUAUAUUAGGGAUUGUAACUCCUUACCUUUUAGCAUACUGCCCAGUUCCUUGAAAGUGGUAGAAUGUGAUUGUAUAGAUGAUAUAUCAGCUGAGUUGCUCCCAACAGCACGCAAUUUGAGUAUUAGGAAUUGCCACAACCUUACUAGGUUAUCUAUUCCUACUGCCACUGAAAGUCUCUAUAUUCAGAAAUGUGAAAAACUCUCGAUGGCAUGUGGAGGGACCCAGAUGACGUAUUUGUGUAUUAGAGACUGCAAGAAGCUGAACUGGCUGCCAGAACUCCUUCCAUCUCUUAAGACACUGGAACUGAUUAAUUGUCCAGAAAUAGAGUCCUUUCCUCGAGGACGAUUGCAGCAACUUGUAAUCUGGAAUUGCAAGAAACUGGUGAACCGCCGAAAGGAGUGGCGUUUACAGACACUCCCCUGUCUCAGAGAGUUACUGAUCUCUCAUGAUGGGAGUGACGAAGAUAUUGAACAUUGGGAGUUGCCUUGUUCUAUUACAAGACUUGAGGUAUCCAAUCUGAAAACAUUAAGCAGCCAACAUCUCAAAAGCCUCACCUCUCUUCAAUAUCUAUGUAUUGAGGGUAAUUUACCUCAAAUUCAGUCAAUGCUGGAACAAGGCCACUUUUCGCACCUCACUUCGCUUCAAACUCUACUAAUCAUGAAUUUCCGUAAUCUCCAAUCACUUCCUCAAUCAGCACUGCCCUCCUCCCUCUCUCAGCUGACCAUAUAUGAUUGCUCUAAUCUCCAAUCCCUUCCAUUAAAAGGGAUGCCCUCUUCCCUCUCUAAACUAUCGAUUUCAAAAUGUCCAUUGCUCACACCACUACUAGAAUUUGAAAAGGGGAAUACUGGACAGAAAUUGCUCAAAUUCCCAGCAUAUACAUCGAUGGGGAAUGCCUGUAAUGAUUAAAACAAAUGGCUCUUUAACAAAUGUAAGUUGUUCUUUCCCCUUUUUACUUUCCCUUUGCGUUCACAGUUUCUUUUUAUAUAUACAUAUGUUAGACUGGUUACAAUUUUAUGAAAGAAUGUGUGUAAUUAUUACAUGAGUUUUAUGGUUUUGAUGUUCAGAUAGCUUUGGUAAUUAUGAAGUUUCCUUCUAAUUAUGUCCAUUACUCAACCUCACUGACUCCUCCGAGAUAGCGGAAGAUCAAGGAAAAUGUCGAUGGUAUUAAUAUUGAUAUAGAUCACCGUAGAGAACUUCGCCCUGAGGUAUAAAUGAUGAUGCUUCAUUUACACAUUUUAAAAAUUUUGAUAUUAUAACAGCUAUAACGUGUGUCCGAGUCAAUUAGAUGUCACAGACUUGGCUCUUCUUUGUUUAAUUUAAUUCACUUUCUUCGUUUCGAUCAGAAAAUAUUUCUCUAAACCCAUGUCGAUUUUAUUAUUUUACUCAAAUUUCUGUUUCUGUUACUUCUCCGAUUUCUAAUUUGUUUUAUGAAAUGUUUUUUUACAGUUCAAUUUUUCGAUGCUUCCAAGUUUCAGCAGUCCUGAUUCCUGAAGUUUUGUGUGUGAGCAUCGUUCUCUCCUUUGAACUGUGAAUGCAUUUCAAGUGUUUAUACCUCCAACGAAGAUAUUAUAACCGUUGAAGAGAUCCCCGUUGAAUGGUAGAAAAAUAAAGCAACGUCAGUAUAGAUUGUGUAUAGAUUGUUAAUAUUAAUGCUGCUGCUGCUGAUGUUAGUAUUCACUUGGCUAUUGUUAAAUAUGUUUACAAAUUCUAUAAGCUCACAAAGGUUUGCUGAAUAUCAUAUAUCUCUGUUUCGAUGCUGGGGUAAAUUUAAUGUGAAAAAUAAUAGUUCUGCGACUUUAUUGCUGAAUAUCAUAUAUCUCGCACUCAAAAUGAUGUUAAAAGAAUUUAAAUAAAUAACAGAAUCGAAAAAUUCAAGUCCUCUUGCUAUUGCUAUAUUAUCAAAAAGAUUCAAAAUGUCUUUUUGCAUUGUAUAAGUGUUUCCUAAAUACAAUGCAAAAUAUUAAAUUAGUAUCCGAUAUCAUAAAUUUGUUUAUAAAAGAAUGGGUAUAAAUAGUACUAAUUGUAGUUUGAUUAUAAUCGAAAAAUACACCACUUCACUUUUGUCACAAGAACAAGUUAAUUUUGGAGAGUGAAUUAUGUAUAAUGACGAAUUUUUGAGGGUUCAAAAUAUUUUUUUUAUCUUUUUCGGACUUAUUUAGGUUCUGAACUUCUUUUUAACACUAUAAUUAUAAACUGGAUAGAAAUUUAUCAUUUUAAGCUCUUUUAAUUUUGAGUCCCCCUAAUUAAGAGCCCUUCCCUUCUUGCUUCAAUUAUUUAGUUGAAUAGUCUUUUUGUCUUCUGGUUUGGUGAAAAGAGAAAAAAAAGACAAUUUCGCUUCUUCUUCUUUUAAUUAGUUAUUAUUAGAAGGGAAAAGGGUCUAAUUUGCCCCUCAACUUUGUCAUUUAGAGUUGAUAUACCCUUUAUUAUGAAAGAGGCACAUAUAUACCCUAUUUGUAAACAAAUGACUCACAUAUACCCUUUUCCUCUAACGGAAAUGAAAAAAUAAUAAUUUUCAAUCUAAAUUUUUAUUAUUUUUAUCUAAAAAAUAUAAUCCCAUAAAAGUAAAUUUAAUCAUCGUCAAACAUAUUUUUUUUACUUUUUUUUGUUUCAAUGACUAAUUUAUAAUUAUUAUUUUGACAAUCAAAUUUAUUUAUGUUUCACUAAUAUUCUUGUAAAACUUAUUGUAGAUGACCAAAUUUUUUUUUGAAUACGAAAUUAAAUUACAAUACACACAAAAAAAUAGUUUAAUUUUUUUCUUUAAACUAAGGAAUGAAAGAAAAAAAUAAAAUAAGAAUAAGAAACUCAAAUAAUUAUAAUAAAGAAGUCAAAAAAUAAUUUAUGUAUGAAAAAAAUUAAAAUAUACCUUGAACUUUUAUAGAAGAAUCAUAUAUACCACUAAAUAAUUUUUAAAAAAAAUUAUAAGUGAAAUAUAAAUUUAAAACUAAUUAUUUAAAAUUCCGUUAAAUGAAGGGUAUAUGUGAGCCAUUUUGUAACGGCAGGGGUAUAUGUGAGCCGUUUGUAUAACGGUAAGGAUAUAUAUGAGCUACUUUUAUAACGAGGUGUGUAUCAGCUCCAAAUGACAAAAUUGAGGGGUAUAUCAAACCCUUUUCCCUUAUUAGAAUCUAUGUAUUAUUUAUGCAUGAUUUAUUUCUUUAUGUUUUAUUUAUUUUGUCUUAUAUCUUGCAUAAAAUAAGAUUAUAUAGAUUUUUUUUAUAUUGAAAUUUAUGUGUAAUAGUUAUGUGAAUUUCUAAAUUGUAAACCAAACACAAUAUUAAUUUUAUACAUCAAUAACUUACCACUUAUCCAGAUAUUAAACAUUUUAUUACUUAUAAGAAAAUUUAAUAAUUGCAUAAUUCAUUUUCAAACCAGCUACCAAACGAUUCAUAAUUAGCAUCAACAGGUAAAGUUCCUUUGGUAAUUGAAGAUUUAUCAUUUUUAACUGUUUUAUUUUUGAGUCUCCCCCUACUUAAGAACUCUAUCCCUUUUGCUUCAAUUAUUGAAUUGAGAAAAUAAUGAAUAGUCAUUGUCUUCUUGUUAGGUGAAAGUCUUUGUAUUCUAGUUGGGUGAAAAGUUGAAAAAGAGAAACACAGAUUUUAUUUUAUUUUUUAUAAUGGAAUUUAUGCAUUAUUUUAUCUAUGAUUUACUUAUUUCAUUUUUAUGCCGCAUAAAAUAAUAUAUAGAUUUUUUCAUAUUAAUCUAUAUAUGUAUUAGUUACGUGAAUUUCUAAAUUAUAAACCAAACACCGCAUUAAUUAAUUUUAUACAUACAUACUUACCUUUUAACAACUAACAAACAUGACUACUACUUAUACAGAAUUCUAACACUUACAUAAUUCACUUAUAAUUCAUUUCCAAACCAGCUACCAAACUUUCUACCUGACAUAUCGACAGAUUGCAUCAAUUUUACUUCCACAUUUUUGUUUUUUAACCAUUCUAAAUUCUAGUAGUCUGGAUUCACCUUGCACCAAAGUAAAGUUACCUUAAUCUAAAGGAAAAUCGACAGUGAUUUCUGCAGCUAAGUUUAACAUUAGUAGGUUUCACCAUCAACUAUCAAUACUGCUUUUAUCUUUUCAUUCUCUGCAGCAACAAGAACCUUGCUAAAAGGAAAAAAAGAAGAAGCUAUUUCUUAGUCUGUGUUUUGUAGUUUUAGCAAACAAGCAUAUUGCUAAAACUACAGUAUAUUGUACCUUUUUCAGGACAAUUAUGUUAUAUUAUAUGUUGGAUGUUUAUUUGUUAUGUCAACAUAGAAAAUUAGAAACAACCAACAAGUAUAACCCCACGUACAAGUGAAGUGUGUAUGUAGACCUUAUCACUAUCUGUAGGGUAGAGAGGUUGUUUCGGAAAGGCCAUCGGCUCAAGUAAACACACAAAAAAUAAUACCAUUGAUAAAAGGAAAAUGUUACAGAAUCCAAUUCUAAAACGUAUUCAUGAUAUAUAUGCUGGGCUCAAUUAAGCACUACACUGAGCUGUUGAAAAAUGAGUAAGUGCAUAAAGAAAAAGUAAUGAAUAGACAUAAAGCAAAAGAUACUUACCUCAAUUAUUCAACUUUUUGAUAAGAGAAAAGAGGAAAGUUUUGCUUCUUGUAGAUUAGCUAGAACAUAGUUGUACUAAACAAAGAGAGAGCAAUCGCUGAUCAUUCUUGUUUGCAAAUUACUCUUAGCAUUCAACAGGUAAAAUAAAGCUCAUAACAGACACUAUUUGAAGAUAUAUUUUGUUAAAGAAUCAUAUUGUGUGUUUCCUUGUUUUGCUUUUGCAGAUUUCAGAAAUGGAGAUUGGAUUAGCAGUUGGUGGUGCAUUUCUCUCCUCAGCUUUGAAUGUUCUGUUUGAUAGGCUUGCUCCUAACGGUGAUCUGCUCAACAUGUUUCGGAAGCACAAGGAUCAUGUUAAGCUCUUAAAGAAGCUGAAAAUGACUUUGUGUGGUCUUCAGAUUGUGCUAAGUGAUGCAGAGAAUAAGCAAGCAUCAAAUCCAUCUGUGAGCGACUGGCUUAAUGAGCUUCGAGAUGCUGUUGACUCUGCUGAAAAUUUAAUAGAAGAAGUCAAUUAUGAAGCUUUGAGGCUUAAGGUGGAAGGCCAGCAUCAAAAUCUUGCUGAAACAAGCAACAAACAAGUAAGUGACCUCAACUUGUGCUUGAGUGAUGAUUUCUUUCGUAACAUAAAGGAUAAGUUGGAAGAAACUAUUGAAACGUUGGAGGUGUUGGAAAAGCAAAUUGGUCGCCUUGGCUUAAAGGAGUAUUUUAUUUCGACCAAACAAGAAACUAGAACACCUUCAACUUCUUUGGUUGUUGAUUCUGGUAUCUUUGGAAGGCAGAAUGAAAUAGAGGAUUUGGUUGGCCGUUUGUUGUCUAUGGAUACAAAGGGAAAAAAUUUAGCUGUAGUUCCUAUUGUUGGAAUGGGCGGCCUGGGUAAGACAACACUUGCUAAGGCGGUUUACAAUGAUGAGAGAGUGAAGAAACAUUUUGGUUUGACAGCUUGGUUUUGUGUUUCUGAGGUAUGAUGCUUUCAGAAUAACAAAAGGUAUACUUCAAGAAAUUGGCUCAACAGACUUGAAGGCUGAUCACAAUCUUAAUCAGCUUCAAGUCAAAGUGAAGGAAAGUUUGAAGGGAAAGAAGUUUCUUAUUGUUUUGGAUGAUGUGUGGAAUGACAACUACAACGAGUGGGAUGACUUGAGAAACAUUUUUGUACAAGGAGAUAUAGGAAGUAAGAUCAUUGUGACGACACGCAAAAACAGUGUUGCCUUGAUGAUGGGAAAUGAGCAAAUUAGCAUGAACAAUUUGUCUACUGAAGCCUCUUGGUCUUUGUUUAAAAGACAUGCAUUUGAAAACAUGAAUCCUAUGGGAUAUCCGGAACUCGAAGAGGUCGGAAAACAAAUUGCAGCUAAGUGUAAAGGACUGCCCUUAGCUCUGAAGACACUCGCUGGCAUGUUAUGCUCCAAAUCAGAGAUUGAUGAGUGGAAACGUAUUUUGAGAAGUGAAAUAUGGGAGCUGCGAGACAAUGACAUAUUACCAGCGUUGAUGUUGAGCUACAAUGAUCUUCCCGCACAUUUAAAGCGAUGCUUUUGUUUUUGUGCAAUAUUUCCUAAAGAUUAUCCAUUUAGGAAAGAACAAGUUAUUCAUCUAUGGAUUGCCAAUGGUCUCGUACCAGUGAAAGAUGAAAUAAAUCAAGAUUUAGGCAACCAAUUCUUUCUCGAGUUGAGUUCAAGAUCAUUAUUUGAAAGGGUCCCAAAUCCUUCUGAAGGAAACAUAAAGGAAUUAUUCCUAAUGCAUGACCUUGUCAAUGAUUUAGCCCAACUUGCAUCUUCAAAACUUUGUAUCAGGUUGGAAGAGAGCCAAGGAUCUCAUAUGUUGGAAAAAAGUCGGCA